GUUGUUCGGAAUUGCUGGGCGUAAAGGGCGCGUAGGCGGCCAUCUAAGUCAGACGUGAAAUCCCCCGGCUUAACCUGGGAACUGCGUCUGAUACUGGAAGGCUUGAGUAUGGGAGAGGGAUGUAGAAUUCCAGGUGUAGCGGUGAAAUGCGUAGAUAUCUGGAGGAAUACCGGUGGCGAAGGCGGCAUCCGGGACCAUUACUGACGCUGAGGCGCGAAAGCUAGGGGAGCAAACGGG
rnacentral:rRNA from 1 species